AAUAAGAAACAAUAAUUGUAUUUAGUUUCGACCUAAAAUUUUGAUCCAUAAAAUGAUCCUUAUUU
rnacentral:tRNA from 1 species